AACGCACGAGACCUGCGGACCUGCGGAGGGAUCAUUACCGAGUUAUCCAACUCCCAACCCCUGUGAAUUAUACCUUUAAUUGUUGCUUCGGCGGGACUUCGCGCCCGCCGGGGACCCAAACCUUCUGAAUUUUUUAAUAAGUAUCUUCUGAGUGGUUAAAAAGAUGAAUCAAAACUUUCAGCAAUGGAUCUCU
rnacentral:misc_RNA from 1 species